GUGAGGAAUUUUCCGCAAUGGGCGAAAGCCUGACGGAGCAAUGCCGCGUGAAGGAUGAAGGCCUAUGGGUCGUAAACUUCUUUUCUCAGAAAAGAAUUAUGUCGGUAUCUGAGGAAUAAGCAUCGGCUAACUCUGUGCCAGCAGCCGCGGUAAGACAGAGGAUGCAAGCGUUAUCCGGAAUGAUUGGGCGUAAAGCGUCUGUAGGUUGUUUAAAAAGUAUUCUGUCAAAGAUUAGGGCUUAACCCUAGAUAGGCAGAAUAAACUUUUAAGCUAGAGUAUGGUAGAGGCAGAGGGAAUUCCCGGUGGAGCGGUGAAAUGCGUAGAUAUCGGGAGGAACACCAAAGGCGAAGGCACUCUGCUGGGCCAAUACUAACACUGAGAGACGAAAGCGAGGGGAGCAAAUGGGAUUAGAAACCCGGGUAGUCC
rnacentral:rRNA from 1 species